GCAGUGGUGGUUCAGUGGUAGAAUUCUUGCCUUUUACGCUAGAGACCUGGUUCAAUUCCUAGCCAAUGCA